UCGAGAAUCUUUCGCAAUGGGGGAAACCCUGACGAAGCGACGCCGCGUGAGCGAUGAAGGUCUUCGGAUUGUAAAGCUCUGUCGCCUGGGAAGAAAACUCAGGGCGCUAAUAUCGCCUUGGACUGACGUUACCAGGAGAGGAAGCCCCGGCUAACUCUGUGCCAGCAGCCGCGGUAAUACAGAGGGGGCAAGCGUUGUUCGGAUUUACUGGGCGGAAAGGGCGCGUAGGCGGUUUCAAAAGUCAGAUGUGAAAUUUUUCCGCUCACCGGGAAAACUGCAUCUGAAACUCUGGGACUCGAGUUGGUGGGAAGGGAGUGGAAUUCUCGGUGUAGCGGUGAAAUGUGUAGAUAUCGAGAAGAACACCAGUGGCGAAAGCGGCUCUCUACCAUAAAACUGACGCUGAGGCGCGAAAGCUAGGGGAGCAAACG
rnacentral:rRNA from 1 species